ACAUGCAAGUCGAGCGGGGUUUAUCGGAUUAGCUUGCUAAACUGAUAAACCUAGCGGCGGACGGGUGAGUAACGCGUGAGCAAUCUGCCUCAUACAGGGGGAUAACAGGUGGAAACACCUGCUAAUACCGCAUAAGACUCCACUACCGCAUGGUAGAGAAGUCAAAGGGAUUACCGGUAUGAGAUGAGCUCGCGUCCCAUUAGCUAGUUGGUAAGGUAACGGCUCACCAAGGCAACGAUGAUUAGGGGUUCUGAGAGGAUAUCCCCCCACACUGGAACUGAGACACGGUCCAGACUCCUACGGGAGGCAGCAGUAGGGAAUAUUGGGCAAUGGAGGCAACUCUGACCCAGCCAUGCCGCGUGAAGGAAUACAGCCCUACGGGUUUUAAACUUCUUUUAUUAUAGAGUAACCGGAGGUACGUGUACCUCCCUGCAAGUAUAUAAUGAAUAAGGAUCGGCUAACUCCGUGCCAGCAGCCGCGGUAAUACGGAGGAUCCGAGCGUUAUCCGGAUUUAUUGGGUUUAAAGGGUGCGCAGGCUGAUCGAUAAGUCAGGGGUGAAAAAUUUCAGCUUAACUGGAAUCGUGCCUUUGAUACUGUCGGACUAGAGUGUAACUGACGUGACUGGAAUGUGCCGUGUAGCGGUGAAAUGCUUAGAUAUGUCACAGAACGCCAAUCGUGAAGACAGGUCACGAAGUUACUACUGACGCUCAUGCACGAAAGCGUGGGGAUCAAACAGGAUUAGAUACCCUGGUAGUCCACGCUGUAAACGAUGAUUACUCGUUGUUGGGCAUUUAUGCUCAGUGGCCAAGCGAAAGUGAUAAGUAAUCCACCUGGGGAGUACGAUCGCAAGGUUGAAACUCAAAGGAAUUGACGGGGGCCCGCACAAGCGGAGGAGCAUGUGGUUUAAUUCGAUGAUACGCGAGGAACCUUACCCGGGCUUGAACGUGAGACGAAUAUAUAAGAGAUUAUAUAGCCUUCGGGCGUCUUGCGAGGUGCUGCAUGGUUGUCGUCAGCUCGUGCCGUGAGGUGUUAGGUUAAGUCCUGCAACGAGCGCAACCCCUACACUUAGUUGCCAGCAUGUCAUGAUGGGGACUCUAAGAGAACUGCCUACGCAAGUAGAGAGGAAGGUGGGGAUGACGUCAAAUCAUCAUGCCCCUUAUGUCCUGGGCUACACACGUGCUACAAUGGCCUGUAACAGAGGGAAGCGAAGCCGUAAGGCGGAGCAAAACUCAGAAACCAGGUCCCAGUUCGGAUUGUGGGCUGCAACUCGCCCACAUGAAGUCGGAGUUGCUAGUAAUCGCGAAUCAGCAUGUCGCGGUGAAUACGUUCCCGGGCCUUGUACACACCGCCCGUCACACCAUGGAAGUUGGGGGGACCCGAAGCCGGUGACC
rnacentral:rRNA from 1 species